CCCCAGACAAGUGAGCAGCCACCUCCCCUGCAUCUGCAUAGUGACCAUGGAUGACAUAAGGCCAAAUUGGAUUUCCUCCUGCAACUUGUUCACCCAGAGCUCUUGCCAUGUUAGCAAUGUGGUUUAAAGCUCCAUCAACAAAUUCAGGGGGGAAAGGAAGACAUACUUAUCACAAGGUCCACAAGGAAUACGAAUAAUGUAGGCACCACAGCUACCAGUUCCGUCAGAUGGGCACGACAACAUCUCUACGGGCUCUCCGUAACUAUAAUCUACCUCAGGUGAGGAGAUCUGUCUAGUUAGGAGAUCAACCCGGUGCACCCCUUUUGUGUUGGCUAAAGCUCGAGCAAGUUCAACCACAUAUUUGACCUGAAAUUAAAGGAGCUACAACUGUAUUAGAUAGAUAGAAUCUCGUCCGAGUUCCAUGUUUUCUCCUCGCACCAGUCCAUGGAUACUGGAAGAAUCACAAACUUCAUAUUAGAAGUGCUAAUUUUACAGGAAGGAAUACAGUUUAGCCUCUUUUUGUAUAGAAAGAAAUCUUGAAGGCAAAAGGGAGAUUUUCUAUUAAUCAGGUACAAGUCUCAACUAUAUUGAUAUUAUUGCGUAUUGAUUAAGUUAUUAUACCUAUUCUAGCAUGCAAUACACUUGGAUAACCUUUUGGUUUCCUAACCGUUAGUUUGUAAUUUAACUCUGAGCAAAUAAAAGGGUUACACAUUUACAUAUAUAUUAUUCUCUUACAAAAAGUGGCCAAAAAAGAGGUAUGCUACAGUGAGGGAGAUGACGUUGCUUUGCCUUUAGAUUGGAAAGGAAUAUAUACUCUUCAUAUGUGUCAUGUUGUCUUUUCUUUUUCUCUUUUUGUUUCCUUUUUUAUUUAAUAAUUAGUAAUUCGAUUUUCUUUUCUAUUUAAUUUAUUUUUAACAGACAAAAAAUAGUGAUGGGAAAUUCAACGUACUGUAAUAAAUAAUAAAAAAGGUAAUUAGGAACUAUGAAUAAAAUAUGUUGAGGAAUACCAAGUACUGCCAUGCCAUGUAAGUAUACUACUAAUAACUUUUACCAUGCAUGCACUUUAAGUUACAUUUUGUUUAGCAAUAGUUGCACCUAAUUUCAUGCUCCCCAAAUUUAUGCACACAAAAAAACAAAAAAAUAAAAAAGUAAAAAAAUAAACUGUCAUCCUUGGGCUGCAUAGAGAUAGGUGUGGCCCAGGGAGCAUCCAAGUUUUUUUUUUUCCCCCAUUUUUCAGUUUAACUAUCUUUGUUAUGUGGCAAUUUUAAAAAAAAAUUAUCUGGUGUAUAGUUUAAUUUGAGGUUAGGCUAGCAAGAAAUGGGGAUGAUGCAAUGCAAGAUGUAGUCAAAUAUUUCACUUGGGAUAUGGUAUGAAGUAAAUUAAAAAAGAAAAA